UGGGGAAUUUUGGACAAUGGGCGAAAGCCUGAUCCAGCAAUGCCGCGUGUGUGAAGAAGGCCUUCGGGUUGUAAAGCACUUUUGUCCGGAAAGAAAUCCUUGGCUCUAAUACAGUCGGGGGAUGACGGUACCGGAAGAAUAAGCACCGGCUAACUACGUGCCAGCAGCCGCGGUAAUACGUAGGGUGCAAGCGUUAAUCGGAAUUACUGGGCGUAAAGCGUGCGCAGGCGGUUUGCUAAGACCGAUGUGAAAUCCCCGGGCUCAACCUGGGAACUGCAUUGGUGACUGGCAGGCUAGAGUAUGGCAGAGGGGGGUAGAAUUCCACGUGUAGCAGUGAAAUGCGUAGAGAUGUGGAGGAAUACCGAUGGCGAAGGUAGCCCCCUGGGCCAAUACUGACGCUCAUGCACGAAAGCGUGGGGAGCAAACAGGAUUAGAUACCCUGGUAGUCCACGCCCUAAACGAUGUCAACUAGUUGUUGGGGAUUCAUUUCCUUAGUAACGUAGCUAACGCGUGAAGUUGACCGCCUGGGGAGUACGGUCGCAAGAUUAAAACUUAAAUGAAUUGACGGGGU
rnacentral:rRNA from 1 species